GUAGGAUGCACAUAGGAGGUCUGAGAUUUUUCUACAGGGCUUUCUAUGGUCAGUUUUGGUAGUGUCAACUGCAAAAGCACGAUGCCAGAAACAGUCAAUGCUAGACAAUUACUAGACUUUCACUGAUAAACCAAUAAAGAUGUUUACCACCAAAGUGGGACCUGAAAGUGUUUUAAGAUACCUCUGUUUUGCUUAGACAAGAUGUUAGAUGUCUGGAUGGUCGGAAUUUGGCCAAAAAAGGAAGAGCCACUACAAAACCUCUGGGUUGAUGCAGAUUCUGGAAAGAAGGUCCAGUAGGGGGCGCAGUGGAGGCCUGUGGCCCUCUGUUGACACUUUUUGGUAGUGUCAACUGCAACAGGAUUCACUCAAAAUAUAUUUAUUUAUAUAAAUUUCAGGUUCAACUUUUAGCCUAACAGCAUAAGAACCAAAUUUAAACAAUUAUUUUCUGACUUAGAGAGGCAUGAUUUAUUUAUUGACACACGCUAACAUUUUCUUACCUUUUCCUUACGAUCUCUUCUCGCCACAUCAGGCCUUUCGAAAGCUAAACCAAUAAAAAAGUAACAAGUUUAAAAUGUAACACACUGUCCUUAUAUAUAUAUAAAAAAACACUUACCUGGAAUUCUGAUACUAACUCCGUGGCAAAUCAUUCCUCUGAAAGUAAACUUUGAAAAAUGAAUAUGGAGUAUGAGCUGAUGUAGUCGAUAGAUGUGGUUUGUACCUGAUGGACUCGUUUGCAAGAAAUGAUUUCGAUGACAAAGUUAUCAAAAAACCGUAUAUCAUAGAUAGAUAGAUAGAUUUUGAUAUCUUUCUCAUAGAACUCAAUUUUAAAUAUCCAGUUUAAAAGUUAAUAUUUCGUCAAAAAUAAAUAAAUAAAUCAAGAAGAGACACUAACCUGAACUUCCGACUUUUUCUUAAAGCAAAAUGUUCUGAUGCUGUUUGAGUGACUGAGUAAAAGUUGUAGACUGACUCGUUUGUAAGACUUACGAAGACAAAAUCUUAAAAAUCAGAAUCUUCAGAUAAACUACAACCUAGACACUGUGCUAUUGAGUUAUGUAUGACGCC
ensembl:lncRNA